rnacentral:misc_RNA from 1 species
AAGUCGUAACAAGGUUUCCGUAGGUGAACCUGCGGAAGGAUCAUUAACACUUUUUAUUAUUUUGUUUUUUUUCUAAAACAAAAUUUAAAACCCCACAAUUUUGGAUGAAUUUAAUUAAUUUAUUUUUUAUUUUAUUUUUUUUUAUUAUAACCCUAUUAUUUUGACUAACAUUUUUAUUUAAUUAUUAAAAAAUUAAAAAAACAACUCUUAACAACGGAUAUCUUGGCUCUC